rnacentral:ribozyme from 1 species
GCUACUAGAUAGAUAGAAAGAUAGAUAGAUAGAAAGAAAAAAAGAAAGAAAGAAAGAAAGAUUCAUAACUAAAUGUCUGAUGC